rnacentral:lncRNA from 1 species
GCAAGGUGAGAAGGCCAAGUCCUGCCCGCUGGGCCAGGCAGAGGUCACCCGCCGCGCCUGAGCUACCGGUGUGUGAUGAGAGGACUGCCCCACGUCUUCCCUCAUUUCCCAGCUGCCUCAGUUUCCCUUCCUGAGAGAGGCAGGGUUCUGGGAGGUGAGGAGCUGCAGGGACCCAAGAAGGGCAUAGAAGCCGCCUGGGGACACUGGCCCCUCUGUCAGGAUCAAUCGCCCUAAGCCUGUCUGAGGCGCUCCGGGCUUAGGAGCAGCUGUGAAAGCCGCCUUUGUGCCUGGGAGAAUGAGCCGCAAGAGGACAGGGGGCCCUCGCCCCGGGAGCCCCUUGGGUCCUGGCUCCUGAGAUCAACGCCAGCAGGGAGGACCCCAGCCUGGCCCCUGCAGCCCACCCAGGCCUGGUGCCCACUUCGUGCCAUGGGAGCAGCCCAGGGGAAGAAGAAAAAGAAAUGAAGGCCCAGACACGUUACGCCAUUUGCCCAAGACCACACAGCCAGAAGAGAGUGGCUGGGAUGGACCUAUACCUGCCAUCUCUUCACCUGCAUCUGCUGGGAACCCCAUCCCUCAGCACUGGGGCCAUUUCCAGCUCCUGCAUCAUGGGGCCUCCUUGUCCCCUUUCCCAUGACCAGGCCCUGAAAAUGCUCCCACCCCAAUCCUGCCAGCUCCCCCAACUCCUGAGAAAGUCCCCUCUGAGAGCCAAGAGUCCCUGCAGAUCUCAGGAAGGUGUCCAGGGGAAAGAGAUGCAUGCAAAGCCCCAUUCCAGCUCUGCCAACUCACUGCUUAUUCAUUAAUAAAAGAAUGCCCAGGCUAUUUUGGGCACCUGUA